rnacentral:lncRNA from 1 species
GGGAAUGUUUCUAUUGAUGAUUAUUAAAGUUCAUUAUCAAUCUGGAAACCGUAGGAGGUGAAAUGCUUAGGAUUUUAGAAAAGAUGAAAGAAGAUCUACGUCGAAUCCUCUUAUUUUAAUUAAACGAUGAGUUUCGACAAAACUCGACAGGUGUCACCGCUGCAAAGUGUGACUUAUCUAUGUGGCACGCCUACGUGGGUGAAGGAGAAGAGAUUAAACAGUCUUUUAUAUAUAAAGAUGUGUGUGUGUGUUUCCGAGCCCAUUAAUUUAUGGUACAAUAUAUUAUGUGUAAAAUAUAUU